rnacentral:rRNA from 2 species
CUUGGUGUUACUGCGAAGGGGGGACGGAGAAGGCUAUGUUGGCCGGGCGACGGUUGUCCCGGUUUAAGCGUGUAGGCUGGUUUUCCAGGCAAAUCCGGAAAAUCAAGGCUGAGGCGUGAUGACGAGGUACUACGGUGCUGAAGCAACAAAUGCCCUGCUUCCAGGAAAAGCCUCUAAGCAUCAGGUAACAUCAAAUCGUACCCCAAACCGACACAGGUGGUCAGGUAGAGAAUACCAAGGCGCUUGAGAGAACUC